CAUCCCCAUUAGCUUCUAUGGCAGUCGAUCAAGGUAGCAUGACGUCAUCGAUCGAAAUGCGCAGGUAUUGUGCUAGCUGAGAGGCGUUGGCAGAGCGGACGAAAGGGAACACCUGCUGUCACACUAGCGCGCAAGUGCUGUGUGAGGGUAGAGGGCAUCGCCAUUGGGUGGACAGUGCGGCUAGUUUCGGUAUUGGCAAUAAAGCGUCGCCAUGACACCGGUAUCCAAAGCAAAACUCAAUAACUUUUGCAUAUGUAGCUCUAUCUUUUCAAACUACGUGACAAUAAAAUGAAGUGAUGCAAUUAUGGUAGAAAUAAGAUGUGCUUCUGGCUAUUUUCUUUUUCGGUAUCAUAUUUUUAUUUUGCCGCUUCAUUUGUUGCGCCAAUGGGCGGCGCUAUCGCUCUUAUCGCUUCGGCGGCCAUUCCCGUAGUCUGCACCUGCCGCUUUCUAUGCACGUGCACGUUUUUUCCAUAUGCUUUGUAGUUUAAAACUUUCUUUCUGUGCCUGCGAAUGUUCAGGUAAUGUCAGAAAAACUGAGGAAAGGAUACAAGGCUUGCUGUGCGGCUGUGUGAGGUGGCAACUCGGGGAGCAGCACGAGGACAAAAUAUUUCCGUUUCCCAGCGGACGAGAGGGAAGCACACUUCUUCUGUAAUCGUUAUGAAGAAACAAGCGCUGCGCUCAUCAAAACAGCUAUGUGACAUAUGGCGAACUUACGCUAAAUAAGGUAGAAAUUUGGCGGCCAUGGGAACAGAUGUACAACCGCUACGGCCUGUGCUCGGACCGACCCUAUCGUGGUCAGUGCUCGAGUGGAAGAGCGGUCCCUGAUCCAUGAGGAGUGUGGCCUACCAAGCACCAGGGGAGAACUUGGUGCUUGUGACGCUAUUCCCGUAUACCUGGGUGGUAUACCAGCUCACCUAGCCGUGCAUCACCCCGACGCGUCACCCAGUCAUGAGAUUGCAUUUCAAAAUUGGUUCAAAGUCAUUGUGGCAUACUUGGAAUACAAUGAGCAGGCGAUUUGACGAAAUAUUUGCACGAACAUGGAGAAUACACCAGUCUGCUGUUCUA